rnacentral:rRNA from 1 species
AGAGUUUGAUCAUGGCUCAGAUUGAACGCUGGCGGAAUGCUUUACACAUGCAAGUCGAACGGCAGCAUAGGUGCUUGCACCUGAUGGCGAGUGGCGAACGGGUGAGUAAUACAUCGGAACGUGCCCAGUCGUGGGGGAUAACGUAGCGAAAGUUACGCUAAUACCGCAUACGAUCUACGGAUGAAAGCGGGGGACCGUAAGGCCUCGCGCGAUUGGAGCGGCCGAUGUUAGAUUAGCUAGUUGGUGGGGUAAAGGCCUACCAAGGCGACGAUCGGUAGCCGAACUGAGAGGUUGAUCGGCCACAUUGGGACUGAGACACGGCCCAGACUCCUACGGGAGGCAGCAGUGGGGAAUAUUGCGCAAUGGGGGAAACCCUGACGCAGCAACGCCGCGCGAAGGAUGAAGGUUUUCGGAUUGUAAACUUCUUUGAUGGGGGACGAAAAAAAUGACGGUACCCCAAAAACAAGCCACGGCUAACUACGUGCCAGCAGCCGCGGUAAU